GUGGUGUUGUAGCUAUCAGCAUCACAGCUAUAUCCUCCUCUGAGUGGUUCAGACUCUGCUUCAAAUGUUGUGAAAGUUAGUAUGUGCCUAGGGAAAGCAACAACCCUUUGGUCAGGGAAAGACUUCAGGGAAGUCCCCAGAAGACUUCCUGACCUGGAAGGAGCACUGUGAGCCAAAGGAAUGCACUGUGCUUUUUCCAUGCAUGGAUGGUGCCUGGAUGACCAGAGUUACCAGACUGUGUAGAAGUAUAGAUGAGCUGCAGUCUCUGUAAAGGAAGAAUCCAUCAGACACCUCUUUGCAACACACAGGAGGCAUCAGGUAAACGCAUUUGGUGAAGCAGCAGAGAUCUGUCAGAGCAGUGAUCUGCUCUGAAAAGCCAGCUGCUCAGAAGCCAGUAUUUCCUCUAGCUGAUGACCUUCUUCCUGCUUUUCCAUCCCCCAUGUCAUGCAUCCUCUCUCUCUGUAUUUAAAUUAUGUGCAUUUCAAGUCUAUGUAUGCAUCCUCACUACUAUUACCUUAGAUCUUACAGGAAAUACCACUCCACUAUCCAUCAUACCACUAGUCAUUGCCCCUUUCAAGAGCAUAUCCUUGAAAGAAAAUAGGAAGAAGCUUUAUUGUGGCAGUUCAAUGAGCUAGACCCAAAGAAAUUAUUCCAAAAACCCAAACGUCUGGAAGAGCUCCAGGAAAGGAUUUAGCCAGAGACUGAUCCUAAUCUAGUGCUUGAUCUAGCAGUUGGCAAUCUUGCCCAGAGGGGGUUGGAACUAGAUACGCCCUGAGGUAUACGCUCUUCUCAACCCAAGACAUUCUAUUCUUCUUUGGUUCUAUGAUUGGUUAAUUAUAUCUGUCUAGUACAGUACAAAACACAGGGAUACCAAAACUUUAGGAAAAUAUAGUUAAUUGGAUACAUUACAUUUUACUAUUCCAGUAAAAUGGUGUUUGCGUCAUAAGGGUAUCCCAAAUAAACUUUAAAUUAUAGUUUCCAAGGAUUGCUACAAAAAAGAGAUGGAGUCCCACAGAUAUACACUCCGAAUUACCAUUACUCUGAAACUAUGGCUAUAAUGCCGCACUUUGAUUUCAUGUUUUAAAGGAGUUUCUAAUUCUUCUCUGCUUUCACUGUCUCUAGCAAGCCCUUUCAAGCACUGUGCAAUCUUCUGUCUCUCUGAAGUCUUAAAGUAUUUCAGAGCAUCAGAUAUAUCAUUAAUUUAUCAUUAAAUCAUUGUUGGAGGCAGCCUAGUCACAGAGGAGUACCAUGUAGUCCAUGGCGGUUCUACAGGUGUUGAAGUACUGAGUCCAGCCCACUUCAUCACAAAAACAAAACUGUUUUAUUUGUUGAUUUUUUCUUAGAAGUAUAAAAUAUUUUGUUUUCAUAAUCAACUCCUGAUUUCCAUUUAAAAGUAGCACAAAAGAUAAAAUUGUUGGUUAUUAUUCCUCUUCAUUGUACAGUUUCUAAAAUUACCAGAAGUAACUGGAUAUUUAGUGAAUAGCACAGCAGAUGAAUAGAUAAAAUUAAGACAAAGGAUAUUUUGUUAAACAAGAAGAUAGGAAUGCUAGGACAUGUAACGUGGUUAUUCAUAAGGUAGUUUUUCAAUAUCAGAGGUGAGAGAAUGAGUGAAGAGCAGUAGUGUUCAUGAAGACUUCUCUGUAAGGUGUAUAUCUUCACUUUAGCUAUCAGUUACAGGUUUGCUUGUAGCUUGUUCUUUUCUAUUUGAUUUCAGAAAUAUCCUCUAGCUUUAAGCAUAGCCUUCCCACACAUCGAUGACCUUUUAAAUAAUUAAAAUGCUAACAGUUCAUACAAGCUAUUAUGCAACUCACUCUUCAAAGCAGCAGGCAAAAGACCAAAACUGUGAGACAGAAAACUUGUCUGUGCUACUUGUUUUUGACUUGCUUUGUUUUUCUGACAGGUUCUGUUUGAGGAAAAUUGAGACAUGUGCUUUGUUACUGGUUCAAUGCUCAGAAAUUCUUCAGUGCCAUGUCAUUAUUCAUUGUUUCUGUUUUGAUCAUUUAAGCAAUCUUUUCAUGUUGUUUUCCUCCUGGAUAUAUUAUCUGACAUACAACAACCAGAGCGUUCAUAAAGCCCUUUGGUGCCUGUGGGUACAUACGUAGCUGAUGCCUGUUUAAAUGGCAGUUUCACAGCCUUUGGAGGUAUGCUGCAUCAUAUGAAUAAAAGAGAAAAACAAUUGCUGCAUUAGAAAGCUUAAGACACUCUUAAAAUCAUCUACUCAAAACAGUGACAUAGCCUGGGAGGAGAGGUAGGAUCUAGGCAAAGUACAAUGUCAAAUGAAAUAUCCUGGGCUUACCUCUGACAGCACACCAUUGAUUUGGCUACGUAUCAGAACAAUAGGAAAAUAGAAACUGAUACACUUAAAAUGAAAUAAUCCUUACUUUGAGAAGAAGGUUGGUAGGUUUAAAAAGCAAGAGAUACAAAAAUCUCUUCACUUGGAUAAAUAAAUGGAAGUUAAAACCAGGGUCCAGCAAAAUAGAACACAUUUUCAAAAAUGCCAGUACAUCUGCACUAUUAAAAUUAACAGAAGGUGUCAGUGCUGGGAUACCUCGGUUCUGUGGUGAUGAGAAGUGGUACUCGAGACAUACAAAUGCAUAGGAUUGGCAAACAAACCAAAAUUAUCUAGAAGACUUUUAAAGAAAAACAAAGUUUAAAUAUAUGUUGCCUUUUUAAAAUUUUUGUAUCUGUAUAUGCAUUAAGCUUCUACAGAAUCACAUAAAUCUUAAGACAAGAAAAAUAGGAUUAAUUCUAGAGUGAACUUUACUUCAGAAACAGGAAUUCCCAUUACGUAUCACCAGGGCCCUAGGUAAAAUUCACAGUAUAUAAGGUGAAAACACCUUAUAUCACACAGAUCAGUCCUACACAAUCUCUGACACUGAUUUUGAUAAUAAAACAGACAGCAGUUUUGCAUGUUAUAUUUUGUUAAUUAAUUUAAAGAUUAUACAUACUUCCAUAUUAGUUUUUGUAUUUUAAAAUCUAUGUUCCCCUUGCAUCCUUCAGGUAUGAAAAUGCCAAGCCUUUGCUACUGUAAAAAUAUUAUCUAGCUCCAGUGUAGCACUUUGUAUCACAAAAGAGACAAACAGCAUUACCCGAAUUUUGCAGGAAGUAAAACACAUGCAAAGAAGCAAAGUUGCUUAACCAAGUAGUUAACAAAGUAGUAGUUCACAAAGUAAGUGUCAGAGUUUCAAUGGAAUCCAGUGGCACUAUCUAGUAUAAAAUUUCUGUACUGAAGCCCUCUCAAAGAGUUCAUGUUUAGUCAUAACAACAGUAUUAUUAUUAUUAUUAUUAAUGGUUAACACUUCAAGAAGUCAACAUGAUAUUAUACACUACAUGCAGAGAAAAAUAAUGUAAUGACACCAGUAUAUAAACACAUUGUUUUAAUAUUGUGCUGAAGUGGCAUUAAUUUAGUUCACAAGAAUAAAAUAAGAAGUUGAAAAUUGAACUAACAAUAACUUCCUCAGUCUUUAUUUUUUUCUGUGUAAAGAAAUUGGAGACUAAAUAACACAAACACGAUGCAUGUCCCAGGAGCAUUUUCUUGGGUGAGAAAACUAGAUGAUCUUCAGGGCAUUUCAGCGUAACCUCAGAAGUUAUUGCAUUAAAGGAAAAUGCUAGAAAACUAGUUAAAGAACCUCAGCAACUGAGGUCACGUCAUUCUGUCCUAUCUUGUAACUCUCCUGCUGCCUAGAAUAUUAUCCUACAAAAUGAGAUGUGGCAUCUCAGCCAAGGUUUCCUAUAGAAGAUGCUCCCUGAAAUGACUAUAAACG
ensembl:lncRNA